AGUAUAUAUAAUAACUAAAAUAAGUUAAAUUGUCUAUAAUUUUCAAGUAAUUUAAUCAAUAAUGGAUACUUAACAUAUUUUGAAGAUUUUUGAGUACUCAUAUACAAAAUCAUUUUCAUUUUUGUUUUAUAGGCUGUCCCGUUUUGUUUUGGAAAUGCCCUUAUAUAAAUUGCUUAUAGUUUUAAGACUCAGUUGUCCAAAAGUAUCAAGACUCAGUUGUCCAGAAUGUAUACAUUCAGUGUUGUACUCUAUCACAAAGAAAAUAAAUUAACUUCUUAAGACCGUAUGUCCCAUUUCUGAGUUUCACUAUGUGUUUAGAAAUGAAAACAAAGAUUUGGCAUAUGCUUCGCCAGUGUUAAGCUGACCUGAUUGGGACUUAGACUUAUCAAAUCUAAAUGUGAGGUUACUUUUAAAUCUAACAAUCCUAAAAUCUUGCUUAGUUUUCUCUCUUUGUUAUAUUAAUAGGGAACAACAUAUAAGAAACUAACCUUAUAGCUAUGGCUUUUGUUGUAGAACAAAUUCUUCUGGAUCAAAAUUCUCAAACUCCUCCUCCAAGCCCUUUCUCAGUGCAAGCUUUUAAUAAAGGGGCAAGUUGCAGUGCCCAGGGAUUUGAUUAUGGACUUGGGAAUAAUAAAGGUGACCAACUGAGUGCCAUAUUGAAUUCCAUUCAGUCACGGCCCAAUCUCCCAGCUCCUUCCAUCUUUGAUCAAGCUGCAAAACCUCCCUCUUCCCUAGUCCACAGCCCAUUUGUGUUCGGACAGCCCCUUUCCUUCCAGCAGCCUCAGCUUCAGAGUAAGUCUGUCAGCCUUACUUCCUCAUCAAGCAUAGCUGAAGCCUUGUUCUGAGUUAUCAGUCUAGUUAUUGGCUCACCUGACUGGUUUAAGUAGGAUGUUAUCCUCCCAUAUUUUUGAAAUAUUUAAGCUGUCUGAACUAAGAUGUUCUGCAGCUAAGACAUUUGUUUUUCAAUCACACAUUUUUAAAUUAAGUAUUAAAGUGACUUUUUUACUUUAUUCUAAUUCUACUCUAAGUAAACACAGGAAAACAUUUUUAAUUUCACUUUUUUUAUAUGGAUGACUAUGGUAACCAUCAGUUAUAGUUCAUUGCUUUACAUUCAAUUUUUGUUACUUUGAUAGCUAUGAAAUACAGGUUUCCAAAUUUUCUUGAGUUGUCAUUUCCUUUCUUUC
rnacentral:lncRNA from 1 species